CAGGCCACUGGAGGGAGGGGUUGGGGGCAAAGGCUUAGCUGCUUCUAUCACCUCACCCCAACCCCGCUCCUCAACUCCAUCCAGGCUCUGAAGAUCUUGUAGGUAAAAUCAUGAGCAGACAGGUAAAGGAUUGGGACCGUAAAUGUAAAGCACAAAGAAGGUGCCAUGGUGCCUGGCAUACAGCAGCCACAUGGUGGAAGCACCUGUAGAUUUUGGCUUACCAAUCUGUGUGGGCAUCAUCGAUCACCAACAAGAUCCUGGGCCUUUGAAUAAUGGGAGCAGAGGGACCUGGAGGCUCCAUCAGCCCUGCGGGGGCUUGUGAGAUUUUCUAGUAUACUGUGUGGACUGAACUGCAUCCCCCAAAACAUGUUGAAGCCCUAAUCCCCAGUGUGCUGGUAACUGGAGAUAGUGCCUUUGGAAGGUGAGGACACAGGGAGAAAGAAGCUGUCUGCAGGCCAGUAAGAGGCCCUCACCAGAAACCAAACAUAGUGGGACCCUGAUCGCAGACAUCCAGCCUCCAGAACUGUUGCCAUGAGAACAUGUCCCGUGGAUCUGAUGAGGAACAGAGACACCUGAAGAAGACUUAGACCCAAGCAGUACCUUAGAGUCAUCCAGAUGAGCCCCACCAAGAUGCGUCAGCUCCCAGUCAACUUGAAGAAGCAUG